UAAGGUCACGGCAAGACGAGCCGUUUAUUAUCACGAUAGGUGCCAAGUGGAAGUGCAGUAAUGUACGCAGCUGAGGCAUCCUAACAGACCGAUGGCUUUGAAC
rnacentral:rRNA from 1 species